UACAAAACUAGAAAUGUGUCCAUAGGACACGGAUGCCCCACACGCCACUGUUCUGUCAAUCUUAUGACUCUAGGUCAAAUAUUUUUUGGACUACAUGUGCCACAAGUUGAAAACUAAAAAUCAACAAAGGGCCAUAAUUCUGUUAAAUUUGGUCGCAGCAAAAAUUCCUUCCUUUACUACCAUCUACACAUUAAGGUUGUAAAUCCCUGGAAGUUUAAGCAAAAUCUGCCAUCCGAUUUAAGAGGAGUUACGUUCACAAAAUUUCUACAAAGUAUAUAAUGAAAAAAAUCAACAAAGGGCCAUAAUUCUGUUAAAUUUGGUUGCAGCAAAAAUUCCUUCCUUUACUGCCAUCUACACAUUAAGGUUGUUCAUCCCUGGAAGUUUAAGCAAA